GCGCGAUUAGCUCAGCGGGAGAGCGCUACCUUGACACGGUAGAGGUCACUGGUUCAAUCCCAGUAUCGCGCAC
rnacentral:tRNA from 1 species